GCUUUCCCAGCUCCCACCAGAGCCUCCAGCAGUGCUGCUUCUUGCUUUUGGCCUCAGAGCAGGCCUGUGGCACCUGUCUGGUUUGUGUCAAAUCUGCUUCUGAAAGUUAUCUGGGGACUGGUGCUUCCUCAUUCACCCUCAGCACUUUUCUAAGGCAAGAGGUGGAGUUAAAAGGAGCCUUCACUUUCUGCCACAGAAUGAGUUGCUUCCCACUGCACUGCUGAAACUGCUGUUUGCUGAGUUCCCUUUGUGCCAGGCACUUCCAGAGACUCUGGACUGGAUCAGGCCUUUCAAAGACUCUCCCGUACACCACUUCCAAGGUUUCAAGCUUCACCUGCUUUUUAGCAAGCAGGCACUUACACCAAUGUUGAUGGAUGCUUUUUCCCUACUUCUUGCUCUUUGUGAAUGAGCUGUUGGCAAGCGCUCCUGACUGCAGCCUUAAUCUCUCUUUAUGGAGAUACGGAGGUUGCCUUCAGUGAGUCCCUGAAGUCCGCUGCUGCAGUGCUGAAAAGCUUGGUUCACUGCAGGAACAGAGCGCAGUCUGCAGAGGCAAGCUCACUGACCUGAUGGUGGAGCUGAUUCUGCUGGGACCCAUGGGGAACCAACACCCCCAGCACCUUGCAGCACGUAUCCUGCAGCUUCAGGUCUGGUUGCAGCUGUGUGAGCCCAUCUGAGUUAGCUUCAGUUACUGUAUGAAUGCUCUGUCUGGGAUAAGCCUGCCUUUUGCAUCCCCAUCCUUCAGGAAAAGCCAAAGUGCUUGGGCUGAGAUCUCUUUAAUUCUUGUGCCCUGCUGCUGGCUGCAAGAGUUGGGGCUGCUUUGAACUGCAGCCUAGAAAGGAGCCUAGAAGUGGAGGAGAGCCACGCUCCCUCCCAGCACAGCCAGGCCUGUGCAGGAGCUGACCUCUGCUGCUUCAGUGCAGAGGAAAAAAAAUAUUCAAAGCAGGUUAGGCUUGACCUACAUUUGGUCUUUGCAGUGUGCAAGUUCUCCGCUUCCUGCACUUUUCUCGUGGUGACCUUUUGUUCCUAGGAGGUAGGUUAAGAAGUGCUCUGAGGCAUCACUGUAUGUUUUGUAAAGCAAAAUUUUCUUUCCAACAGGAAAGAAUAAUUUGAAGAUUAUUUCAGUCACAGGAAAUCCCACAGUCAAAUUAAAAAAAGGAAACUUGUUCUUGUAAAGUCUUCAAAUAUCGUAGGAUUAAAUCUCUCUUUAGGGCUGACAUUACGGGUGGGAUGAUUGCCAUUGAUAUCUCAUAUGCGCCAUGUGCUUCAGAAUAGGAUUUUGCACCAAAGUGUCUCUCGCCACCAAUCAAAUCUCAGUGAGUGGAAAAGAAACGUCUGCCUCAGAGCAAGGAGGGAGAGGGAAGGGCAGGUGCUGGCGUUGGAGAUGUCAUAGUUACAGCUGGGAAAAGUACGGAUAAUUUUCCUCCACUAUUUUGAUCGCUAUGUCUGCAAGCCGUGAACAGAAGUGGUAAUUCAGAGGGCAAGAGGGAGGACUCAUAGAGCAGCAUACCAUGGUCCUGGGCCCAGCUGUGCCAAUGCUUUUAUUAUUUUUUUCCCCUCUCCCUUCCUUUUUGAUGUGGCUAAGGACAUAUUUUAUCUAUUUCUCAGUGAAGAAGGGGAUGGAGAAGAUGCAAGUGAACAUGGACAGAAGUGUGGUGGUUUUUUGGUUGUUUUUUUUUGGCUGUUUUUUUUUUUUUUUUUUUUUUUUAGUAGCUUGCCCACUGCAGAGCCAGCUGCCUCUGCGGUCACACAGCGCGCUGGCUGCUGUUGUGGUGUUUGCAAGCGUCACAGCUGACAAACUGCAGGGGGAAGCAAAAGCAUCAUGUGCGCAACCAAAGAUGUCUGCAGGCAGCAACAUCUCCAGAAGGUCCAUCUGUAGCAGGAGCCGGCCGUAAAGCUAAGCUGACCCAUUUUAUCUUGCUGGAUCCUGACACAGGCAAAAUGUUAUCCAGUCACAAAUCAUUUCUGCAAGGGCGUGUAACAUCUUCUGGCCAUGUUUUGUCAGCUGGCCCUGCUCGCCUUCUGUUACAAUACCUGUCUUACCUAGGUAAAGUCUUCUGAGCAACCACAGAGACCUCAAGGACAGAGAGCAGCUUGACCUUAUCAGUGGAUCUGCCCCUUUCGUUUGAAGGAUGCUAAGGUUACCAAGUCAUAGGCAGGAGAUGGCAGACAACAUUUGCUGGAGCAAAACAGCCAGUAUUUCACAGCGAAGAGCGGCAGGGAGCCAGGACAAAGACCAGGGUGUGACCGUGCAGCUCAAGGUCAGGAGGGUUGAGUUAAAGUUACCCACGUGGCCUCGCUUCUGGCAUGUCCCAGCUUCUGAGAGCUUAAUUGGUAGUGUUCCCAUGUCCUCUGUGCAUGUCUUUCCUUAUAUAUUAAAGAAAAAAAAAAAAUACAACCAAACAACAACCAAAUAGAAAUCAAUAAGUUUUAUUGUGUGGCAUCACAUUUAACACCUACGUGGGGCUGAGAUCUUUUGAUUAGUUUUACUUUUAUGGACUAGCAGAGCAGUAAAGUGUUGAAUACCUGGACCAGGCAUGGAAAGGCAGAGGGCAUUGGCCAAUGUGUUGGGUUUUAUUUGGCUACACAGUGAUUGUCAGCCUCUGUUUCCCCUCUGGGGGAACAUGUUCCCACUGCUUAAAGGGUCUUUCACAUGUGAUCCCUGUGGGGCCAGCUGUGUCCACAACUGUUCCAAAGCUGCUCCUUCUUCCCCUCUUUUUCCUCUCUCCUCUUGCUUUUUGACCCAUCCCAGGCUUUCAGCCCUGCUGAUCCCAUGAAUGCAGCCCAGAGAUGUUCCCUUCAUUUGAGCCCUGACCCUGUUUAGUUUUCCUGUCCCUCUGUAACACCUCCUGCUUCUGAUCAUCUAUGCAUGGAUCUUGCACGGUGCCCUUCCUGUGUCCAAGGUUUGCUGGAUGACGAGCAGUCAGCACGAUUUAUUCACUGUGGGUGCAACUUGUCAGCAGAUUUUUCUCCCUUAACAUGAAGUGGUGGAAUCCAAGGCAGCCAGCGCAGGCACUGAGCUUCGUGCGAUGAACUCUCCUAAGUGGUGAUUCUCGCUUGCACAGCAUCUCCCUUUGCCCCUCUUUAGAGGCUGGUACACGAGCAGAGAUUUUUGAACUCAUAUCACAAAAACAGUUUGUAGCGUAGAUGGGCUUGUUAUUAGAUGUUGUGAUUAACCCCUGGUGAUGAUCACCCAGCUUGGAACAUCAAGGUACAGUCACGGAGGAACAGCGGGUCAGAGUCUCUGUUGAUACCGGUCUCUGCAGUCCCGCUGAAGGCAACACAACUACGCCAUUUCACACCACACAUGGUGUGUGCCAGUCUUUAUCUGGCAUCUAUAGCUCUAAUAGGAACAUACGCUUUGCUAAAUUAAGAAGCAAUAUUUUUGUGCUUUAGGAGAAGCAUGCUAACAGUCCUGACUUAUUUUAAGGAUAUGUCUUAAAAGCAUUAAAAGGGGCAUGAAAUAAUAAUAUAUGUAAUUUACCACUGUGGAGACUGUCAAGUGUUGUCAUGCUACUGGCAUCACAUUUAAUACACAGGCUGCCAAGAGGCAUCACUAAUAGAAUUUGCAUUAAUAUACAAAGCUUCUUUAAAAAUUAAUUAGCCAAAGUAGAGCAUCAUGUGCAGAGACUCUCAAACAGGAGAGAAACAUUGAAGCCGUAGUGAAAGAAGCAGUCUCGAAGCUGCUUGCAAAGCCGAGGGCAGCUGGAAGCAUUGCCCAAGCCCUUCCCUCCUGCCCAGAUGUAUGCAGGAUGAUGGGGAUGCAGACAUAAACUGACAGCGUGAAGCAUUGCCGUGGAAAAUUGUGAAGAAAAUCAUAGAUUUGGAGUGGGCCCAGAGGCUGUUGUGCUGCUGCUGAAGGCUGUUGUGCUGCAGCUGUAAGCUGGAGAAGCUGCAAAGAAAUACAAGCGACCUGUUAAGUCCUUGAAAGAAAAUGUGAUCUCUUCUAAUGUCUUAUUUCCACCUUUUAGAAACACCAGGCUGGAGGCACCAGCACUCCACAGCUUAAGCAGCAGGUGUAAGUGUGGGUCAUGCAUUUCUGUGUGAGCCCAACACUGCAUGUGCCAAAGGCCAGCACGCUGCAGGCUUGCCUGGGUCAAACUGUCCAACAGCAGCAGCGAGGUGUCGCAGAGCUUAUCAAGGGCACGUGAUAACCCUCACCCAAAAGUCAGUCCCCCUCUUUUUGUGCUCUUUAAUCAGCCUGCAAAUGCAAUGGCAGACCAACGAGUUGGGAUGCUGUGACCUUGGUUGAUUUAUUAAAUUAGCAGCAGACACACCUACCUUUGGUGCUUCAGUUUCUUCAUGCUGUGGAGAUGGCUAGAGGUGGGGUUUGCUGUUCCAUGUGGAGGAGAAAAAACAAACUUACUGAUGACAUGUACUGGUGACCUUUCAUUGGAAGCCGAAGGCAAUGCGAUGUGUGCCGACACGUGGGCUGGUUGUGGCCUGCUGUCCUUUUGUAGCUCAGGUUAUAAAUCU